rnacentral:lncRNA from 1 species
GCUUUUUAUUCCAGAGUAGUAGUAGCUCCAACACCAGCCCCUGCACCACCAGUGGUCAAGCCACCCAUCACUAAUCCACCAGUAGUGAACCCUAGUCCGCCGGUAGUCAAGCCACCAGUUUAUUCUCCACCAGUGGUCAAGCCACCCAUCACUAAUCCACCAGUAGUGAAACCUAGUCCGCCGGUAGUCAAGCCACCAGUUUAUUCUCCACCAGUGGUCAAGCCACCCAUCACUAAUCCACCAGUGGUGAAACCUAGUCCCCCGGUAGUCAAGCCACCAGUUUCUUCUCCACCAGUGGUCAAGCCACCAACUCCUACCACACCGGUCGUCAAGCCACCAGUUUCUUCUCCACCAGUGGUCAAGCCACCAACUCCUACCCCACCAGUCGUCAAGCCACCAGUUGCUACCCCGCCAGUGACCAAACCCCCCACUCCUUCACCACCACUAACCAAGCCACCAAGUAGUCCUGCACCAGUAACCAAACCACCCACCA